CACUUAAAGCAUUAAAUCAUAACAUUUUUCAAUGGCCUCAACAAAAUUCUCCCUUCAGUCAAUUUUGCUACUUUGCUUGAUUUUUUUCUCCCUUUUGGCUCUCCAUCAAUGUGACGAAGGAACGAGCGUUAAACCAGAAAUUAAAUUUGAUGGCUGCAUGCAAAUUCCUGGUAAAGGAGGACAAUAUUGUUGUGUGAUAUCUCAUCCUCAAGAAUGCUAUCCUACUAUUGAUGAAUGUGAGGCAAAAUGUAAACGAUGAUUAUUUUAUAAUUUUAAUUGAUUCGAAAAAGUAUUUCUAUGAUUUAUUUCAAUUAAUACUCAUGAGUUUUGAGUCUCGUGUUGGCUAUUUAAGUUGAUGUAUGAGUAUAUUAAUAAAAAUUAAUUACAGUUGUUACUAUUUUAA